GACGAACGCUGGCGGCGUGCCUAAUACAUGCAAGUCGAACGCUUCUUUCCUCCCGAGUGCUUGCACUCAAUUGGAAAGAGGAGUGGCGGACGGGUGAGUAACACGUGGGUAACCUACCCAUCAGAGGGGGAUAACACUUGGAAACAGGUGCUAAUACCGCAUAACAGUUUAUGCCGCAUGGCAUAAGAGUGAAAGGCGCUUUCGGGUGUCGCUGAUGGAUGGACCCGCGGUGCAUUAGCUAGUUGGUGAGGUAACGGCUCACCAAGGCCACGAUGCAUAGCCGACCUGAGAGGGUGAUCGGCCACACUGGGACUGAGACACGGCCCAGACUCCUACGGGAGGCAGCAGUAGGGAAUCUUCGGCAAUGGACGAAAGUCUGACCGAGCAACGCCGCGUGAGUGAAGAAGGUUUUCGGAUCGUAAAACUCUGUUGUUAGAAAAGAACAAGGACGUUAGUAACUGAACGUCCCCUGACGGUAUCUAACCAGAAAGCCACGGCUAACUACGUGCCAGCAGCCGCGGUAAUACGUAGGUGGCAAGCGUUGUCCGGAUUUAUUGGGCGUAAAGCGAGCGCAGGCGGUUUCUUAAGUCUGAUGUGAAAGCCCCCGGCUCAACCGGGGAGGGUCAUUGGAAACUGGGAGACUUGAGUGCAGAAGAGGAGAGUGGAAUUCCAUGUGUAGCGGUGAAAUGCGUAGAUAUAUGGAGGAACACCAGUGGCGAAGGCGGCUCUCUGGUCUGUAACUGACGCUGAGGCUCGAAAGCGUGGGGAGCAAACAGGAUUAGAUACCCUGGUAGUCCACGCCGUAAACGAUGAGUGCUAAGUGUUGGAGGGUUUCCGCCCUUCAGUGCUGCAGCAAACGCAUUAAGCACUCCGCCUGGGGAGUACGACCGCAAGGUUGAAACUCAAAGGAAUUGACGGGGGCCCGCACAAGCGGUGGAGCAUGUGGUUUAAUUCGAAGCAACGCGAAGAACCUUACCAGGUCUUGACAUCCUUUGACCACUCUAGAGAUAGAGCUUUCCCUUCGGGGACAAAGUGACAGGUGGUGCAUGGUUGUCGUCAGCUCGUGUCGUGAGAUGUUGGGUUAAGUCCCGCAACGAGCGCAACCCUUAUUGUUAGUUGCCAUCAUUUAGUUGGGCACUCUAGCGAGACUGCCGGUGACAAACCGGAGGAAGGUGGGGAUGACGUCAAAUCAUCAUGCCCCUUAUGACCUGGGCUACACACGUGCUACAAUGGGAAGUACAACGAGUCGCUAGACCGCGAGGUCAUGCAAAUCUCUUAAAGCUUCUCUCAGUUCGGAUUGCAGGCUGCAACUCGCCUGCAUGAAGCCGGAAUCGCUAGUAAUCGCGGAUCAGCACGCCGCGGUGAAUACGUUCCCGGGCCU
rnacentral:rRNA from 1 species